rnacentral:rRNA from 1 species
AUGAAGCGUGCCCUCGUGGGCUGCAUCCACGGAGAGGAACUUCCUGAAGGAUCUGAAGAUGGUGGAGAGACGGCUGUCCUCUCCGACGGUGAUUCCUCCGCCAGUUCAACAAAUUCGCUGUACCAAGUGCAAGACGGCGUGCUUGGGGGCUGUUCCGAUGGCCCCAGUAUUCCGGACCCCUAUGAGCCGCCAAGAUGGGAAGGAGUCUUCAUGGCUGGGACUCAACCCGGCCAAGACUCUACAACCGCUGCAGCAAUAACGUCCGGGUCAGGAGCGGCCGGGUCAGGAGGCCUUGUGCGCCCGCCGGCUCAGGUGCUGAUAGAUCUCAUGGAUAAGCUUACGGCCCUGUUAACCGCCACGGUUAUUCCUGCAAAUCAAGAUGAGCAUGACGCGGAGGUUGCACGGGUGCGCGAGGAAAUAGCUCGGGCCAAGGAGGCCUUGGCAGCUGAGGACACCAGGUUAGCCACAGAACAGGCGGCUUUGGAUGCACGGGCACAAUGGCUCUAUGAGCCUGAAUGCAUCUAA